CAGUAGCCGCGGUAAUACAGAGGGUGCGAGCGUUAAUCGGAUUUACUGGGCGUAAAGCGUGCGUAGGCGGCUUCUUAAGUCGGAUGUGAAAUCCCUGAGCUUAACUUAGGAAUUGCAUUCGAUACUGGGAAGCUAGAGUAUGGGAGAGGAUGGUAGAAUUCCAGGUGUAGCGGUGAAAUGCGUAGAGAUCUGGAGGAAUAACGAUGGCGAAGGCAGCCAUCUGGCCUAAUACUGACGCUGAGGUACGAAAGCAUGGGGAGCAAACAGGAUUAGAUACCCCUGUAGUCCCUGUCUCUUAUAC
rnacentral:rRNA from 1 species